rnacentral:tRNA from 1 species
GUCGUUGUAGUAUAGUGAUAAGUAUUUCCACCUGUCACGCGGGUGAUCCGUGUUCGAUCCCGGCAACAGCG